rnacentral:rRNA from 1 species
CCUACGGGCGGCUGCAGUGGGGAAUAUUGGACAAUGGGGGAAACCCUGAUCCAGCCAUGCCGCGUGAGUGAUGAAGGCCUUAGGGUUGUAAAGCUCUUUCACCCACGACGAUGAUGACGGUAGUGGGAGAAGAAGCCCCGGCUAACUUCGUGCCAGCAGCCGCGGUAAUACGAAGGGGGCUAGCGUUGUUCGGAAUUACUGGGCGUAAAGCGCACGCAGGCGGUGGUCAUAGUCAGAAGUGAAAGCCCUGGGCUCAACCCGGGAAUUGCUUUUGA